AUUUGGACUCCAUAUUUUCAUUGUUUAAUGUCAAAUCAGCCUGUGAAAGAUUUACUGAUAUUGACUCUCCUAAAUAUAUUGAUAAUGUUGGUGGCUUUAGCUGGAUAUAAUUUAGGUAUUGAUGUAUACAACAAAGGGAGUUUAAUCACAGUGAAGUAAAUCUUUUAGUCUAAUUCAAUUGUCGAAUCCAAUUCUAUUGAAAAUAUGAAGACUGUUGAUGAGAAAACUCGAUUAGUCUCUGGAUCAUCACGAAAGUAUGGCUCCAAAGGCUACACGGAUAGUUAUGAAGUCUAUGACUCAGUACCGAGUUUCUUUUAUAAAGGCAGUCAUCUAGCUCUUUUGAUCAUCGUUGUCAUAAUCAUGGUGUCCUUUGUGAGUGCAUCACUAAGCUUCGGACUCAAGAGGCUGGACGAGAUUUAAACCUUUGUAAGAUCGAGCAAGAAAUCAAAGAUAAUAACGGAAACGACGAACAAGACAUUACUGACCCGUUCAUUGAAUCUCGUUUCUUCUUGAGAUAAUCUUUUCUUGGACCCUUCUCUUAUAAAAGACUCAAUUUCAUAUCCAUAACCAUGUACACAUUGAAACAUUAAAAUAAACACAGUAACGUUAAUGUAAUUAUAAAACAGA